rnacentral:rRNA from 1 species
UGGGGAAUUUUGGACAAUGGGCGAAAGCCUGAUCCAGCAAUGCCGCGUGUGUGAAGAAGGCCUUCGGGUUGUAAAGCACUUUUGUCCGGAAAGAAAUCCUUGGCUCUAAUACAGUCGGGGGAUGACGGUACCGGAAGAAUAAGCACCGGCUAACUACGUGCCAGCAGCCGCGGUAAUACGUAGGGUGCAAGCGUUAAUCGGAAUUACUGGGCGUAAAGCGUGCGCAGGCGGUUUGCUAAGACCGAUGUGAAAUCCCCGGGCUCAACCUGGGAACUGCAUUGGUGACUGGCAGGCUAGAGUAUGGCAGAGGGGGGUAGAAUUCCACGUGUAGCAGUGAAAUGCGUAGAGAUGUGGAGGAAUACCGAUGGCGAAGGCAGCCCCCUGGGCCAAUACUGACGCUCAUGCACGAAAGCGUGGGGAGCAAACAGGAUUAGAUACCUUGGUAGUCCACGCCCUAAACGAUGUCAACUAGUUGUUGGGGAUUCAUUUCCUUAGUAACGUAGCUAACGCGUGAAGUUGACCGCCUGGGGAGUACGGUCGCAAGAUUAAAACUUAAAGGAAUUGACGGGGUCAUAGCUGUUCC